rnacentral:rRNA from 1 species
AGUACAGACGUAGUUUGAUCAUGGCUCAGAACGAACGCUGGCGGCAGGCCUAACACAUGCAAGUCGAACGGGUGUAGCAAUACAUCAGUGGCGCACGGGUGAGUAACACGUGGGAACGUACCCUUCACUACGGAACAACGUCGGGAAACUGACGCUAAUACCGUAUAAUGUCUCCGGACCAAAGAUUUAUCGGUGAAGGAUCGGCCCGCGUCUGAUUAGCUAGUUGGUGAGGUAAUGGCUCACCAAGGCGACGAUCAGUAGCUGGUCUUAGAGGAUGAUCAGCCACACUGGGACUGAGACACGGCCCAGACUCCUACGGGAGGCAGCAGUGAGGAAUCUUGGACAAUGGGCGCAAGCCUGAUCCAGCCAUGCCGCGUGAGUGAUGAAGGCCUUAGGGUUGUAAAGCUCUUUUGCCGGGGAUGAUAAUGACCGUACCCGGAGAAUAAGCCACGGCUAAAUUCGUG